GAAUUAGAAAGUAGCAAAAAGGAUUGUAUAUCUUGCAGAAUACACAAUCAAAGCACUGUUUAUUUUGUAUUGUGUUUUAUAUAGAUUGAUGUAUCCAAUAUAUCUCAAUAUAAAAAUUAUAGAGAUCUGAAUUUUUCUAAAAGAAAAUAAAGUUUCGCUAAAAAAUAUUCCAGAAACUAAAGGAAAGAUAUGAAAUUUAAAUAUGCGGAGAGGAUGUGACAGUUUUUUUUCUACUAUAUCUUAUACUAUAUCGAAAGCAUAGACAAAAGCAUCUAUCCGCUAAAAAAUCAACAUGGUCGACAGAGCUAGCUAGGCGCGUUCCGUGUAUGCGCGAGGAAUUACGAUUUAUUUUGAAUAAUCAAAAUUGACUAGGCUUCACUCAAUGGGCAAUUUCCUCUAGCGAGUGUCCAGGUCUGUUUAUAUGACCGUGGAAAAGACUUACAAGAUUAAUGUUUAGAAAUGCAAUUUUCUAUUUUGUAAUAUAUUGAAAUUGUAUAACCGA